rnacentral:rRNA from 1 species
AAAAACAUUUCCUCUUGGUAUAAGAGGUAAGGCCUGCUCACUGACUAGGUUGAAGAGCCGCAGUAUAUUGACUGUGCUAAGGUAGCAUAAUCAUUAGUCCUUUAAUUGGGGACUGGUAUGAAUGGCUAAACGAGAAAUUAGCUUUCUUUGUUAUGGUUUGUUGAAUUUAACUUGUAAGUGAAAAGGCUUACAUGAUUCAGAAAGACGAGAAGACCCUAUAGAGUUUUACAAAGGCCUAAAAUACAGCUUAUUAGUUUUUAAGGGUUAUAUUUUGGAAAUUUGUUUGGUUGGGGCGACAUAAAGAUAAAAAAAACUCUUUGUAGUAUAAACUUUGGUGAAAGAAAAGGUUUGAUCCUCUAAAAGGGAUUAUAAGAAAAAAUUACCUUAGGGAUAACAGCGUAAUCUUCUUUUAGAGUUCAAAUCGACAAGAAGGUUUGCGACCUCGAUGUUGGACUAAAAUUUGGGCAAGGUGCAGCAGCUUUGUUUUUGGGUCUGUUCGACCCGUAAUAUUUUACAUGAUCUGAGUU